GUUUUUUUGGAAAAUACGGUGGUAUGAAUUCAAGGUAUAAAACCUUAUGCUGGCUGGUUUGUGAUUAUACAUCCUCAAGGGAACUCUUUCCCCUGCAUAGCCAAUGUCAAUGCUUAGGUCAGUGAAAUUUCCUUAUGGUGACCUCACAGCGAGGGUGUAACCCUUGAGAAUCACAGCUUUAUGCAGUGAGACAGGAUGUCUCUCAUUGACUCUCCCUCUUGGGUGGUCACUGGGCUUUUUUCUUCUAUUCUGCAAUGCCUGCAAGGCCACGGACUUUUUAGAAAGCUCAACUACGACCUUACUUAAUGAAUGCUUUCAUAGUCCUUUUACCUUUUCAAUGUCCCGCUUUCACCUGAUUUUUGGUUUCUGAGAACUACUUAGCUCAUCAGUAUACUCACAAAGUGGAUUUUAGAAAAUAUUUUAUCUGGCAGUUUUUAUUGCUUUUCCAUAGGAGGAUCUAGCUGCAGUAUUGCCAGAACAAGAAAUUCACCUCUAUCUGUUCCUGUGUCUAACUAGGAUAUCAUGUGAACUGAAUGAGCCUUACGUUUUCUUUAUUGACAGCUUAGUGAGUGACUUUUGAACCAGGGUUGCAUGUCUUAAGGAACAACCCCAUCUUGAGGACUCAGUAACUUAAAAAUGGAUCUGCUGGUGCUCUCUCGACCAUGAAUUCUGAGGUGGCAGAACAGAGGCCAAGGUUUUGUUAGGUCAUAAUGCUAUCAUGUUUGAACUCCAUUCAUGUGUCGUGCUAGGAAAGGAGUGGUAUUAUCCCAGUCUUCCAGCUUAAACAUUUCACAACACUAAAUCCAUACUCUUUCUCCUUGUGUCUUACAAUUCUCCAAGCUAGAUCCCUGAGCAUAUUCCAUAAUCAGUGGGAAAGGGAGCUGAGCACAUCUGCACAGCCUCCUGUUUCGUCAGAUGUCUGUAAUCCCAGCUACUUGGGAAGCUGAGGUAGAUGGAUCGCAGGAGCACAGGAGUUCAAGACUACAGUGAGCUAAGAUGGAGCCACUACAAGCCAGGGAAACAAAGCAAGACCCUGUCUCUACUGUCUGUAAGGAAAAAACGAGAGAGAGAGAGAAGGAAACCAGAAACUGAUAUGUAAGCUGUUACGGUAAAUAUUUCCAGGAGGCAUGACUCCUUCGGCUUCAAGACCAUCUAUUGCCACUUUUAACUGAUUAAAGUGAUUGCCUGGGACUGCUGGAUCUAUUCCAACUCUGUAUAAAUAUAGUCAGAACAUAACGUGCUGAAUCUGUGUGUGUGAACUCUGCUUCUCACUAGUAUCUGGCUUCUGUUACAAGCGUUAGCUUCUUCUACACUAGUUAAAAAUAUCUAACCAUUAAACAACUAAGCAUAUGCCAACCGUGUUCACAUUCAACCGCAGAACUAAGCUGAACCUGGAUUAGGUGAGCAGAGGUAAAGCACAUGAUAG
rnacentral:lncRNA from 1 species